rnacentral:rRNA from 1 species
CCAGCCCUGAAAAUGGAUGGCGCUCUAGCGUUUUGCCUAUACUCAACCGCCGAAUCUGAGCUGGUGUUGGGGCCCUUAUGAUUCGGUGAGUAGGGAGGUGCAAGGGUGAGCGCAGAAGGGUGUUGGGCGUGAGCCUGCCUGGAGCCACCCCUUGGUGCAGAUCUUGGUGGUAGUAGCAAAUACUCAAGUGAGACCCUUGAGGGCUGACGUGGAGAAGGGUUCCAUGUGAACAGCACUUGCACAUGGGUGAGUCGAUCCUAAGCCAUUGGCGAAAGCCGUUUCCAAAUUGUCGGGCCAUCACGCAAAAAAAUCACUAUCUCUUUGAGGGGGUGUGGGAUUUUUAAAAGCCGCGUGCGCCCCUAUGGAGGAGUAAGGCGAAAGGGAAUCCGGUACUCAUUCCGGAACCCGGACGCGGGGAGUAGCCGGGGCUUUUUUCAAAAAAAAUGUCCCCGGCCUAGCCGCAAGGCAUUUGCCUACUCAGGGAUGUCCAACCGGAGGGCCGGGAAGAGUUGUCUUUUCUGGUUAAGGGGCCGAGGGCCUUGUGAAUUGGGUCGGUCAGAGAGAGGGUCUUGGCCCCGAAGAGCGCCGCGGUUCUUGCAGCGUCCGCGCCACUCCGGUCUGGAACUUGAAAACCUGAGGGUGAGAAUGCGUACCUUCGCGCCGGUUCGUACCCAUAUCCGCAUCUGGUCUCCGAGGUGAACAGCCUCUAGUCAAUGGAUUAAUGUAGGUAAGGGAAGUCGGCAAGUCAGAUC